UACGAAGGGGGCUAGCGUUGCUCGGAAUUACUGGGCGUAAAGCGCGCGUAGGCGGACCUGCAAGUCGGGGGUGAAAGCCCGAGGCUCAACCUCGGAACUGCCUUCGAUACUGCGGGUCUCGAGUCCGGGAGAGGUGAGUGGAAUUCCUAGUGUAGAGGUGAAAUUCGUAGAUAUUCGGAAGAACACCAGUGGCGAAGGCGGCUCACUGGUCCGGUACUGACGCUGAGGUGCGAAAGCGUGGGGAGCAAACAGG
rnacentral:rRNA from 1 species